UUUGACUGGGGCGGUCUCCUCCUAAAGAGUAACGGAGGAGCACGAAGGUUGGCUAAUCCUGGUCGGACAUCAGGAGGUUAGUGCAAUGGCAUAAGCCAGCUUGACUGCGAGCGUGACGGCGCGAGCAGGUGCGAAAGCAGGUCAUAGUGAUCCGGUGGUUCUGAAUGGAAGGGCCAUCGCUCAACGGAUAAAAGGUACUCCGGGGAUAACAGGCUGAUACCGCCCAAGAGUUCAUAUCGACGGCGGUGUUUGGCACCUCGAUGUCGGCUCAUCACAUCCUGGGGCUGAAGUAGGUCCCAAGGGUAUGGCUGUUCGCCAUUUAAAGUGGUACGCGAGCUGGGUUUAGAACGUCGUGAGACAGUUCGGUCCCUAUCUGCCGUGGGCGCUGGAGAACUGAGGGGGGCUGCUCCUAGUACGAGAGGACCGGAGUGGACGCAUCACUGGUGUUCGGGUUGUCAUGCCAAUGGCACUGCCCGGUAGCUAAAUGCGGAAGAGAUAAGUGCUGAAAGCAUCUAAGCACGAAACUUGCCCCGAGAUGAGUUCUCCCUGACUCCUUGAGAGUCCUGAAGGAACGUUGA
rnacentral:rRNA from 1 species